AGCCCGUGCCAGGCCGGCGGGCACUCGGCCGCGCUGCCGUCGGCCGGCAGGCCGGGAAGGCAGUGGCUGCAGCCACCCGGCCGCUGUCGAGGCCAAGCCCACGGCCAGGAGCCCGAGGCGGAGCCCGGGAAGGAGGAGCUGCUGGCCUGCCAGUCACUGCACCAUGUUGUGUGUGCAAGACUUUAAAGGUUGGAAAUGAUAUAAAGAAGUUUAUUUUCAGCACUUCAUUUCAUCAUAAUAGUGAAGAUCCCAACAGUGGGAUAAGCCAAUUCUGUCUGCCUGCAUCUUAUGUAUAUGUUCUGUGUGUCAUCCCCCAUCCUGUAAUCGGGUCACAACAAGUGGCGCAGCGAGCAGGGUCUUGAACCCUGGAGCAAGGUCCUGAACCCUGGAGGAUCUUGAAUCCUGUACGAGGCUGCAUCCUUUCAGGUGGCGGGACCCAGAGGAUUACCCCUUCGACUAAUGGACAGACCCACGGAAUUCUUGAAUGGAUACUCUCACCAAAUCAACAGAAUAAAAAGCUCCUAACAUAUGUGGAUAAACUUGCCCAGCUGAUCUUCAGAGGUUGUCGGAGAUGUCGUCAACUCUCUGGACAAGAUCCUUUCUACAGAUGCUGGUGUUACCACCGAGUAAAGAGAAAACAACAGUCUCAUGAUAUUAUGAUGGUUUUUCAACAUAUCCAUGCUCAAAAAAUUAAAACAAAAAGGGAGAGAUGAAGUGAGCUGAAGCGAGCCGUCCCAGCAUCAGAUUGACUGAGACCCCAAGUCAGCAGAACAGGAGCCCAUUGCUUGUUCCCACAAUUAGCAGGAUAUGGCUUGGUGACCGGCUGAAGAAACUGUUUCUCCAGGCAAACGGCCAAGGACCUGUGGCCUCGUGUGCGAGCCAAGGUUGCCUGGUAACCAGCACUCGGUGCUAGGCCCUGCAAGAUGGCCAGGGACUCAUGGUCUCCAAGGACUCAUGGUCUCACACUCGAGCCGAGAUUGUUUGUUAUCUGAAAACAGACUGUCAAACAUCAAAGAGAUCUCUUGUAGAAGGCCAUGCUUUUUGCUUUGACUGGAAAAACAGGUGUUGUUGGCUGUGGGAAGUCACUUACCAAAAAGUAGCUGGGAAAGUAGCUGGCAUGAGAAAAUAGCUGCGGGAUGCUUGCGCAAUUAAACUGUGUAUAAUAAAUGACUGGCAC